rnacentral:rRNA from 1 species
CAUCGCUCAACGGAUAAAAGUUACCCCGGGGAUAACAGGCUAAUCUCCCCCAAGAGUUCACAUCGACGGGGAGGUUUGGCACCUCGAUGUCGGCUCGUCGCAUCCUGGGGCUGAAGGCGGUCCCAAGGGUUGGGCUGUUCGCCCAUUAAAGCGGCACGCGAGCUGGGUUCAGAGCGUCGUGAGACAGCUCGGUCUCUAUCCGCCGUGGGCGCAGGACAAUUGAGGGGCGCCGCUCCUAGUACGAGAGGACCGGAGUGGACAGACCUCUAGUGUGCCGGUUGUAUCGCCAGAUGCAUCGCCGGGUAGCCAUGUCUGGACGGGAUAAGCGCUGAAAGCAUAUAAGUGCGAAGCCCUCCCCAAGAUUAAUUGUCCCGCCCUUCUUAGGAAGGGGUAAGAUCCCACGUAGACUACGUGGUAGAUAGGCCACAGGUGUAAGGGCAGCAAUGUCCUCAGCUGAGUGGUACUAAUGGAUCGAGGGCUUGACCCACA